rnacentral:lncRNA from 1 species
CCUGCGAGAGGCCCCGCCGGGAGAGGUGAGACCUCGGCCGGGCGGGGUGUGGGGUGAGGUGGAGCCGGGACGUGGGGACACGACUGUCCUGUCGCUUCCCCGGGGGCUCAGAGAGCACGAGGGGAGGAGCUCUUCGCGAAGGUGGGGAGACAGGUGGGAUCUGUGUGGAGCCCCUAGCAAAGCCCCUCCGGUGUCGCUCCCCGGGACCCCUCCUCCCACGCCGGCCUUUUAUCCUUCGCGGUUCAAGGAAGAAGGCCUGGUUUGAUCAGUUUCAAAGUCACCGUACCGCAGGGGGGCGUGCCGAUCUCACAGCUGUACGGACAGGUGCAGCCACCAGCACCGGCAGGAUGCACUCCACGCACCUGCCUUUAUCGUGGUCACCCCUGCCCCCACUGCUGCCUUUAUCGUGGUCACCCCUGCCCCCCACUGCUGACCGCCGGUAGCCGCAGACCGUGCCCCAUCUCUCUCCUUUUGUCUUUUCCAGAACGUCCUAGAGAUGGAAUCUGACUCUGUAUAACCUCCUGGGGCUGGCUUCUGUCACUCAGCACCAGGCCUUGGAGACUCGUUUGUCUUGUGUGAGUUCCGUACCGCUCAGUAAUAUUCCACUAAAUAGAUAGACCGUAGUUUGUUUGUUUUUCAUCUGCUUACCUGUUAAAGAACAUUUAGAUUGUUUCCCGGUUCUGGUAAUUAUGAAUUAUGCUGCUCUAAAUGUUCAGGUACAGGUUUUUCUGUGAACAUAAGUUUUCAUUCAGCCUGGUUUUGAAAAGCAAACAGGUCUGAAUUUGAAUGCUGGUUUGAGAUUUAUUGAUUGUGUGGUGACCUGAGACCAGUUACUUAACUUUUUUGAGUAACUUUAUCAGGGAGUUGCUGUGAGGUUAAAUGACCCAGCGUAUCCGUGGUUCUCCACUUUUUCAGACUCAGCAGGCCCUUUUUUAUUACAAGUAUUGUGGAAUGCCCUCAUUUCUAUCCUGAAAUGAAAUUUAUGAAAUGGGUAAAACUAACGUACAUAAUUCUUAAGGCUAUAUAAUGCCCUAACUUUAGGAUAAAGGAGAAAGAAAAAGGAACGCACUGCAACUCAGGCUCAAAAAAAAAAAAAAACCAAAAAACUGACCGAAUCUUAGUAAAAACUCAGAACAAAGUACCUUGAUUUCGAUGGUAGUUGCCUUUAUAGAAAAAUCAUUGAAAACAAAGUAAUCACUGAAAACAGAAACAAAACUCUGUGGUUGUAAGGAAGAUUUCAGUUCUGGCCUCCUCAAACCUUGAACCACUCUAUUUUCUUCACAGAUGGCAAGGAAAAUACAGUCUCUCGGCUGAGAACCCUUUCACCCCCCUGAAACCAACAUGAAUCUGCCCAGAUCUGUGUCAUCACAUUCUUUAUCCCUCCCAUGUUAGUAGAGGGCUGUCUGCCCUUCUGUCUGCGCCUUGGAUCCCAUCCAUCCUACAUUUUCAAGACCUUUAAUUUUCCCUUCUCCCUCUUCAUAGUUUAUACACCUUUGCAACUGUACCCUUCCUAUUUUUUGCCCAGCUUUGAGGUGUAUUUACAUACAAUUGUCUUCAUCAAUUUUAUUGGAAUGGUUUGAGUUUUAACAAUUGUUUAUGGUUGUGAAACGUCUACCAAAAUCAAGAUCUAGAACUGUAUUGUCCCGAUUGAAGAACCCCCUAGCCAUAGGUGGCUAUUUAAAGUUAAAUUAAUUAAAAUGAAAUGAAAUUAAGCGCUCACCUCCUUACUUGUACUAGCCAUAUUUCAAAUCCUUAUGGCCACUGCUGUAUUUGACAGCCCAGGGACAGAAAGUUUUCCUCAUUUCCGAAGUUAUUGUGGACAGUUCUACUCAGUGCUCCUAUAG